UACGUAGGGGGCAAGCGUUGUCCGGAUUUAUUGGGCGUAAAACGCUCGUAGGUGGCUACGUCAAGUCGGACGUGAAAUCUCCCGGCUUAACUGGGAGAGGUCGCUCGAUACUGGCGAGCUCGAGGCAGGUAGGGGGAAGCGGAAUUCCCGGUGUAGUGGUGGAAUGCGUAGAGAUCAGCAGGAACACCAAGGACGAAGGUACCUACCUGGGCAGUAUCUGACACUCAAGUGCGACAGCGUGGGGAGCGAACCGG
rnacentral:rRNA from 1 species